AUUGAACGCUGGCGGCAGGCUUAACACAUGCAAGUCGAGCGAGCGGCGGACGGGUGAGUAAUGUCUGGGAAACUGCCUGAUGGAGGGGGAUAACUACUGGAAACGGUAGCUAAUACCGCAUACCAUCAGAGGUGCCCAGAUGGGAUUAGCUAGUAGGUGGGGUAAUGGCUCACCUAGGCGACGAUCCCUAGCUGGUCUGAGAGGAUGACCAGCCACACUGGAACUGAGACACGGCCCAGACUCCUACGGGAGGCAGCAGUGGGGAAUAUUGGACAAUGGGGGAAAGCCUGAUGCAGCCAUGCCGCGUGUGUGAAGAAGGCCUUCGGGUUGUAAAGGUCUUUCGGUAGAGAGGCGUUAACUACAGAAGAAGCACCGGCUAACUCCGUGCCAGCAGCCGCGGUAAUAC
rnacentral:rRNA from 1 species